rnacentral:rRNA from 1 species
AUUGAACGCUGGCGGAAUGCUUUACACAUGCAAGUCGAACGGCAGCACGGGGGCAACCCUGGUGGCGAGUGGCGAACGGGUGAGUAAUACAUCGGAACGUGCCCAGUCGUGGGGGAUAACGCAGCGAAAGCUGUGCUAAUACCGCAUACGAUCUAUGGAUGAAAGCGGGGGACCGUAAGGCCCCGCGCGAUUGGAGCGGCCGAUGGCAGAGUAGGUAGUUGGUGGGGUAAAGGCUCACCAAGCCGACGAUUUGUAGCUGGUCUGAGAGGACGACCAGCCACACUGGGACUGAGACACGGCCCAGACUCCUACGGGAGGCAGCAGUGGGGAAUUUUGGACAAUGGGCGCAAGCCUGAUCCAGCCAUUCCGCGUGCAGGAUGAAGGCCCUCGGGUUGUAAACUGCUUUUGUACGGAACGAAAAGCCUUCUUCUAAUACAGGAGGGUCAUGACGGUACCGUAAGAAUAAGCACCGGCUAACUACGUGCCAGCCGCCGCGGUAA